rnacentral:tRNA from 1 species
GCCCUCGUAGCUCAGUGGAUAGAGCAGCGGUUUCCUAAACCGCGUGUCGGCUGUUCGAGUCAGCCCGAGGGCGCCA